rnacentral:rRNA from 1 species
UUGCGGCGUGCUUAACACAUGCAAGUCGAACGGAAAGGCCCUGCUUUUGUGGGGUGCUCGAGUGGCGAACGGGUGAGUAACACGUGAGUAACCUGCCCUUGACUUUGGGAUAACUUCAGGAAACUGGGGCUAAUACCGGAUAGGAGCUCCUGCUGCAUGGUGGGGGUUGGAAAGUUUCGGCGGUUGGGGAUGGACUCGCGGCUUAUCAGCUUGUUGGUGGGGUAGUGGCUUACCAAGGCUUUGACGGGUAGCCGGCCUGAGAGGGUGACCGGCCGCAUUGGGACUGAGAUACGGCCCAGACUCCUACGGGAGGCAGCAGUGGGGAAUAUUGCACAAUGGGCGGAAGCCUGAUGCAGCAACGCCGCGUGCGGGAUGACGGCCUUCGGGUUGUAAACCGCUUUCGCCUGUGACGAAGCGUGAGUGACGGUAAUGGGUAAAGAAGCACCGGCUAACUACGUGCCAGCAGCCGCGGUGAUACGUAGGGUGCGAGCGUUGUCCGGAUUUAUUGGGCGUAAAGGGCUCGUAGGUGGUUGAUCGCGUCGGAAGUGUAAUCUUGGGGCUUAACCCUGAGCGUGCUUUCGAUACGGGUUGACUUGAGGAAGGUAGGGGAGAAUGGAAUUCCUGGUGGAGCGGUGGAAUGCGCAGAUAUCAGGAGGAACACCAGUGGCGAAGGCGGUUCUCUGGGCCUUUCCUGACGCUGAGGAGCGAAAGCGUGGGGAGCGAACAGGCUUAGAUACCCUGGUAGUCCACGCUGUAAACGGUGGGUACUAGGUGUGGGGUCCAUUCCACGGGUUCCGUGCCGUAGCUAACGCUUUAAGUACCCCGCCUGGGGAGUACGGCCGCAAGGCUAAAACUCAAAGGAAUUGACGGGGCCCCGCACAAGCGGCGGAGCAUGCGGAUUAAUUCGAUGCAACGCGUAGAACCUUACCUGGGUUUGACAUGGAUCGGGAGUGCUCAGAGAUGGGUGUGCCUCUUUUGGGGUCGGUUCACAGGUGGUGCAUGGCUGUCGUCAGCUCGUGUCGUGAGAUGUUGGGUUAAGUCCCGCAACGAGCGCAACCCUUGUUCACUGUUGCCAGCACGUUAUGGUGGGGACUCAGUGGAGACCGCCGGGGUCAACUCGGAGGAAGGUGGGGAUGACGUCAAGUCAUCAUGCCCCUUAUGUCCAGGGCUUCACGCAUGCUACAAUGGCUGGUACAGAGAGUGGCGAGCCUGUGAGGGUGAGCGAAUCUCGGAAAGCCGGUCUCAGUUCGGAUUGGGGUCUGCAACUCGACCUCAUGAAGUCGGAGUCGCUAGUAAUCGCAGAUCAGCAACGCUGCGGUGAAUACGUUCCCGGGGCUUGUACACACCGCCCGUCAAGUCAUGAAAGUUGGUAACACCCGAAGCCGGUGGCCUAACCGUUGUGGGGGAGCCGUCGAAGGUGGGACUGGUGAUUAGGACUAA